GCCAGCUGUGUCUGAGGAAGCUCUCCUCGGUGGGCUGCUUCUUCCCCUGUCCUCUCGCUCACAUUUCCUGGGUGGGAGCAGUUCCAGGCAGAAAGGACAACACGGGGAGGAGGACACCUUCUGGGGGCCUCUCACAGCCCUUCCAAUCCCUCUCCAGGGCCUGGGAAAGAGCCUGUUUACAGACUGGUGCUGGCUCUUCCCUCACCUGUGCGCCCCGCCCAUUCCCAAAGAGCAGGGCAGUCAGUUGGCUGGUGGCCGGAAAGGCUUCGGAACACGCAGGACAGACGUCUCCUUAGCCCGCUGCAGCCCUCUCCCGCCUCUACCAACUGCGGGCAGCACCUUUGGUCGGCCUGGGGGUGAGGCACAGAGCUCCACACCCAGGCAACUCAAGUGUGUGUGUGGUAAGGGGACACUGGGAGCGGCUGGACGACCCCCUCCUGCCGAACAGACAAGAGCCCCAGGACAAACUGGGAUGGAGGUCCUGACUGCAGCCUCUGGCCACCACCUCUCUGAGAAGCCCUUUAAAAGGACCAGCGCCUGCGGAGGGGAGACCCUGAGAACUUAAGCCUCAGCGUUGCACAAGUUUAAAAAGGGAAGUGCUUGACUUUGGAUUGAGAGUUGACUCUUCAGUGUGCGGAAGUCCUGAAUUAUUUCACAGGGAGAGUUAGAAAAAGCAAAGCUUCCCAAGGCUGCCAUUCACUUCUUGAGUCUAGAGGCACAUUAUCUUGUCUGGCCCCGUGGACAGCUAUUUUUUUGCGGGGUGGAGUGGGGGGUGGUUCAAACACCACAGAAGCAAAACAGCCACAAGAAAACAAAGGCUUGAAGAGAUUUCUGCUCCCACCCCACCGCCUCAGUCUGGAGAUCCAAACUCACCUCGGUAGCAGGAAAGCUCCUUUUCUGCCCAGCUCCCAGGUUCUUGCUUCAGCUGCAGAUCUGACAUUUGCCUCUGCAGGCACCAGCUUCACUGCUGGCACUCAGACACAGCUGUAAGCUACUGGCCGAUGGUGCUCAUUAAAAAGCUAUGACAUAUACCUAUUGCAUCACUUGCCAGCACAAUCCCUGAGUGACCACUGAGUCCGGAGGGGCAUUUAUCCCAUGACAGUGCAUCAUCAGAGGUGCCCUGCUAUCAUCCCUGCAGGUAGGACACACAGGGCUCAUGCAGCCCCAGAACUCCCAGGGCCUUGUGUUCAUCUCCUUUACAGAUGCCCAGCCAUCAGUGUGGGUCCCAGCCUCAAGGAUCAGUUGAGAUUCAAGGUGGGUUUUGUUAUUAUUGUUGGUUAGAUCUUUGCCCAGAAUUUCAGAACCUUCAAUGCUACCUGGUUUCCUGUCUCAAAGUUAAAACUUCAUUGUAUUAUGUCAUUCAAGUCCCCACAAGGGUAGCUCUGUGGAGUGGUACAGGGGAGAGUGAAACUCAAGCAAUAGGGUUUCCUAGCUCAGCACCUACCAGAUGUUUCUGGUGACAUCCACCUGCAACCCCCAGCUCUCUGGCAGAAGUGGCUCCUAGGAGUUGCUCUUGUUGGAUUCUUAUUAAUUGCCCUCUUGAACAGCUGUAAUGAAUGGAAUGGCUCUGAUCUCCAAAAGGCCAGGGCUUCUCAGGGUUGCUUCCUCACCACUACAGCCAAGGAAAAGGUAUAUAGGGUCCCUGCAGAGCCCUCUAGUGGUACCCCUCCACAUUAUACGCCUCUUACAGGAAACGUUCCAAGACUCCUAGUGAUGACACUACAAUAAGCCAAUAAGCCACUUCCUUCUUUGGAAUAAGCUUACAGCAAAAGAAUUACAUGUUGUAUAUUAAAGAGGAUCUUUUUACUACAAAAUAAUACUUCUAUGUGUUUCAUCAAGUUCAUCAAUAAAAUUUAUUAUAUAUAGUAACUAAAACAAAUAUCACAUAAUAAUUGCACACGUUUUUAAGCACAUGCUAUGUAUUAUUUAUGUUAACUGUUUUACAUAAAUAAUUUCAUUUCCUACUCUCAAAAGCUCUGUAAGAUUGUUGUUAUCUCGUUUCAUAGAUGGGGAAACUGAGGCUGAGAGGAUAAUGUCGCAGGUCACAGACUGAGUAACUGGCCAAGCGGGGAUUUAAAUCCAAGUGUGAACUAUUCAAAAGCCUGAACUUAUAACCAGUACGUUAUUCUCUUACAUGUUGGAGAGAUAAAAUGCAAAAAUUCCUCAUAGCUAUUCCAAGUCAGCUGAGAGAUACGUGUCAAGUUUGAAUGUGGUUUUGAUAUAUGAUACAUGACUUCACCGUGCCUGAGCAUCUGUACACUCCUGGGGAAACUGGUUUAUACUUGUGCUGAUGUGGAUGUCCUCCAGCACUUCACAUUGGCCUCUACACACGUGUUCUACUAGGCAAGUCACAAUGACAAGUUGUACUAGUCUGUUUUCACCCUGCUGAUAAAGACAUACCUGAGACUGGGAAGAAAAAGAGGUUUAAUGGACUUAUAUUUCCACGUGGCUGGGGAGGCCUCACAAUCAUGGUGGAAGGCAAGGAGGAGCAAGCCACGUCUUACAUGGAUGGCAGCAGGCAAAGAGAGUGCUUGUGCAGGGAAACUCCCCCUUAUAGAAUCAUCAGAUCUCAUGAAACUUAUUCACUAUCAUGAGAGCAGCAUGGGAAAGGCCUGCCCCCAUGAUUCAAUUACCUCCCAGUGGGUCCCUCCCACAACAUAUGGGAAUUCAAGAUGAGAUUUGGGUGGGGACACUGCCAAACCAUAUCAUUCUACCCCUGGCACCUCCCAAAUCUCAUAUCCUCAUAUUUCAAAACCAAUCUUGCCUUCCCAUCUAUCCCCCAAAGUCUUAAUUCAUUUCAGCAUUAACUCAAAAGUCCACAGUCCAAAGCCUCAUUUGAGACAAGGGAAGUCCCUUCCACCUAUGAGCCUGUAAAAUCAAAAGCAAGUUAGUUACUUCCUGGAUAAAUGGGGGUACAGGCAUUGGGUAAAUACAGCUGUUCAAAAUGGGAGGAACUGGCCAAAACGAAGUGGCUACAGGCCUCAUGCAAGUCCAAAAUCUAGCAGGGCAGUUGAAUCUUAAAGCUUUGAAAUGCUCUCCUUUGACUCCAUGUCUCACAUCUGGGUCACACCAAUGUAAGGGGGGGGUUCCCAUGUUCUUGGGCAGCUCUGCCUCUGUGGCCUUGCAGGGUACAGCCUCCCUCCCAGCUGCUUUCAUGGGCUGGCAUUGAGUGUCUGUGGCUUUUCCAGGCACAGAGUGCAAGCUGUCUGUGGAUCUACCAUUCUGGGGUCUGGAGGACAGUGGCCCUCUUCUCAUAGCUCCACUAGGCAGUGCCCCAGUAGGGACUGUGUGUGUGGGCUCUGACCCCAAAUUUUGCUUUUGCACUGACCUAGUAGAGGUUCUCCAUGAGGGUGCCACCCCUGCAGCAAACUUCUGUCUGGGCAUCCAGGUGUUUUCAUAAUCCUCUGAAAUCUAGGUAAAGGUUCCCAAACCCCAAUCCUUGACUUCUCUGCACUUGCAGGCUCAACACCACAUGGAAAUUGCCAAGGCUUGGGGUUUACACCUCCUGAAGCAACAGCCCAAGCUCUAUGUUGGCCCCUUUCAGCUACUGCUGGAGCAGCUCGGAUGCAGGGCACAAAGUCCCUAGGCUGCACACAGAAUGGGGACCCUGGGCCUGGCCCAGGAAACCAUCUUUUCCUCCUAGGCUUCCGGGCCUGUGAUGGAAGGGGCUGUUGUGAAGACCUCUGUCACGUCCCAGAGACAUUUUCCCCAUUGUCUUGGUGAUUAACAUUCAGCUCCUUGUUAUUUAUGCAAAUUUCUGCAGUUGGCUUGAAUUUCUCCCCGGAAAAUGGGAUUUUCCUUUCUAUUGCAUUGAGGCUACAAAUUUUCUAUUGCAUCAGGCUGCACAUUUUCCAAACUUUUAUGCUCUGCUUCCCUUUUCAAACUGAAUGCCUUUAACAGCACCCAAGUCACCUGUUGAAUGCUUUGCUGCUUAGAAAUUUCUUCUGCCAGAUAACCUAAAUCAUCUCUCUCAAGUUCAGUUUCACAAAUCUCUAGGGCAGGGGCAAAAUGCCAAGAGUCACCUUUGCUCCAGUUCCCAACAAGUUCCUAAUCUCCAUCUGAGACCACCUCAGCUUGGACUUUUUUGUCCAUAUUGCUAUCAGCAUUUUGGGCAAAGCCAUUCAACAAGUCUCUAGGAAGUUCCAAACUUUCCCACAUUUUCUUAUCUUCUUCUGAGCCCUCCAAACUGUCCCAAUCUCUGCCUAUUGCUCAGUUUCAAAGUCACUUCCAUAUUCUCGGGUAUCUUUUCAGCAAUGCCUCACUUUACUGGUACCAAUUUACUAUAUUAGCCCAUCUUCAUGCUGCUGAUAAAGACAUACCCAAGACUGGGAAGAAAAAGAGGUUUAAUGGACUUAUAUUUCCAUGUAGCUGGGGAGGCCUCACAAUCAUGCUGGAAGGCAAGGAGGAGCAAGUCAUGUCUUACGUGGAUGGCAGCAGGCAAAGAGAGAGCUUGUGCAGGGAAACUCUCCAUUAUAGAACCAUCGUUUCUCAUGAGACUUACUCACUCUCAUGAGAACAGCAUGGGAAAGACCUGCCCCCAUGAUUCAAUUACCUCCCAGUGGGUCCCUCCCACAACAUAUGGAAAUUCAAGAUGAGAUUUGGGUGGGGA
rnacentral:lncRNA from 10 species